ACAGGUCCUUCUGGCAUCUUGAUCUUAAAUGUCUACGCUCUAGAGGUUCUCCCUCAAGAGUUCCAUAAUCCUUAGCUCUAUACUUGGAACAAUAGGAGUGCCCUCUGGUGGACAAAAUAUCAUUUUUAUGUUUGGUGCAUAUGUACUGAAUGCGCCACUGGUAAUAAAGCCCUCAGCAACUCCCAUUUCUGCCAAUGAUUCUUACAUCCUUGUGCUUAAGGAACGGAACUGCCUUGCUUGUGUCUGCAAGUGUCUUCAAGAUGACUGCAACCCAUGCAUGAAAAUCAGCAGCUUUUCGUGGAAGACAUGUGCAUCAAGGACAGUUUCAUUGGAGUUCUUACUGUGUGAAUUCAGCAAUUCACUGCAUUACUUUGACACUAGCUUCUCUUCUGAAGAUAGCAAUGCCUGCCUGUUAGAAAAGCUGAAAACAAUAAAUUAGAUACU